GUAGUAGUGCAUUGGAUCCGUCCGUUCCACAUUUCUUGGUGCUGUUGACAGGACUGAAAAAGCGUAUCUGUUACAUCGUAAAAUGAAGACAUUUUAGGAUUUAUCUUGAUUCAAUUAGUUAUUUUUGGUACUACUAUGGACUAGCUUGGAAUCAUGGUUGUGAAUUCAGUGCAUUGGUUUCGUAAGGGACUGCGGUUACACGAUAAUCCGGCUUUACAGGAAGCUCUAAAUAGCGCAGACACUGUGCGAUGUGUUUAUAUUUUGGAUCCGUGGUUUGCUGGUUCCGCCAACGUCGGCAUCAACAGAUGGAGGUUUCUGCUGGAGUCUUUGGAGGACCUGGACAGCAGUUUGAGGAAGCUCGAUUCUAGGCUGUUUGUGGUGCGAGGCCAACCUGCUAACGUGUUUCCCAGUCUCUUUAAGGAGUGGAACGUCACCCGGUUGACCUUUGAGUAUGACUCUGAGCCUUAUGGGAAGGAGAGAGAUGGAGCCAUCAUUAAAAUGGCCCAGGAGUUUGGAGUGGAGACCAUAGUGAGGAAUUCUCACACACUCUACAACUUGGACAGGAUCAUUGAGAUGAACAACUGCCCUCCACUCGCGGUCAAGAAUCACCCGAUCGUUGAGAUGAACAACGGCAGUCCUCCGCUGACCUUCAAGAGGUUCCAGGCCUUAGUGAACAGGCUUGAGCUGCCUAUGAAACCCCUGCCCACCAUCACACAAGAACAGAUGGGCAGUUGUCGGACGAAGAUCGCUGAUAACCACGACGAACACUACAGUGUCCCCUCUCUGGAAGAGCUUGGAUUCAAGACUCAAGGCCUGGACCCUGCGGUGUGGAAGGGAGGGGAGUCUGAAGCACUAGAGAGACUCAACAAACACUUAGACAGAAAAGCCUGGGUAGCUAGCUUUGAGCGAGCCAGGAUCAACAUGUGUUCGCUGAUCGCCAGUCCCACGGGCCUCAGCCCGUAUCUACGCUUUGGAUGCUUAUCAUGUCGAGUCUUCUACUACAACCUGAGGGAACUCUACAUGAAGUUGCGGAAGAAUUGCAGUCCCCCGCUCUCUUUAUUCGGCCAGCUCCUGUGGAGAGAAUUCUUCUACGCAGCGGGAACCAACAACCCUAACUUCGACCGGAUGGAGGGCAACCCCAUCUGUGUUCAGAUCCCCUGGGACCAUAACCCUGAGGCCCUGGCCAAGUGGGCAGAGGGGAGCACAGGCUUCCCCUGGAUAGAUGCUAUCAUGACCCAGCUGAGGCAGGAGGGCUGGAUCCACCACCUGGCCAGACACGCAGUGGCCUGCUUCCUGACUCGGGGAGACCUGUGGAUAAGCUGGGAGAGUGGCAUGAGGGUGUUUGAGGAGCUGCUCCUGGAUGCAGACUGGAGUGUGAACGCAGGCAGCUGGAUGUGGCUCUCCUGCAGUGCCUUCUUCCAGCAGUUCUUCCACUGUUACUGCCCUGUGGGCUUCGGAAGGAGGACAGACCCCAGCGGAGACUACAUCAGGCGCUACAUUCCUAAAUUGAAGGACUAUCCCAACCGAUACAUCUAUGAGCCGUGGAGAGCCCCAGAGUCUGUCCAGAAGGCAGCCAACUGCAUCGUGGGAGUAGACUACCCCAAGCCCAUGAUCAACCACGCAGAGGGCAGCAGGCUCAACAUAGAGAGAAUGAAGCAGGUCUACCAGCAACUCUCCCACUACAGAGGCCUCAGUCUCCUGGCAUCUGUGCCCACCAUUCAGGAAGAGGCAGAGCCUCCCCCGACAGACGACUCUCAGGCCAGUAGCAGCACCUGUGGUAUGUUUGGAUGUAGUUCUUAUUUUGUAGUCUUUUUUAAAAUGUUUAUUCAUCCUUUAAUUAACCAGGGAAGUCCUGGUCAAGAAAGCAGCAUUUUUUCACGUUUUAGUUGCUACUUAGUUGGUUCAAUAAAAAAACAAGCAAAUGAUUUUGGAAUUGAAUCACUUGAAGCUUCUAACACAUUGGCUUUUCUUUUCUGAAAGUUUCAAUGCAUCAGCUAGACAAGGAAAUGUCUAUAACAGAAAGUGAAUGAUUUAAAUGUACAGGAAUAGACAUUACUAAUCUAAACUACUGAAUGCAGAGUCACCCCCACACACUUCGUCUGCCCAGUCCAACACUCUGAAGAGAGGCAGGUCUUCCGAACCACAAAGCACCCAGAUGUGCACCCACACAAAACACCAGCACACCAGCACUGCCAAAGGAGACCAGGUGCAGCAACAGGAGCAAUGGGAGGAACAGUCAGAGCAUCAGCCAGUGGAUCUGCAGUGACACACGGAUCUUGCCAUGUGGGAUGGUGUAUAACAGAAGGACAUGGCAGAAGACCUCUGAUGUCCUGCGCUCACCCCUAUCCUUGUGGCAAGACGAGUCACUUACAUACAUACACACACACACACAGAGCGUUUUACAAACCAUAACCACUUUCUAAAAUCUAAGAAUAACAGCAACUCCAGAUCAGUGUUAAAAACAGUACCAUACUGGCUAAUAAUGUAUGUGUAUACAACAAGGUUACAAUGAAGUUUGUUCUAAGAAGGUUAGUUCUUACACCUUUCAGCUUUCCUAAUCUAGCAUUAAAAAAAAAAUUUAAACAUUUACCACAACAUUUUAUUAGUGUGUGAAUAACCUCUUUAAGACUGCAAUAGACCCUCAAAGAUAUUAACCUUAGUGUUAAGAACUCACUGGGCAAUCUCAAACUGGGGGAAAUGUUUUAAAUCCCCCAAAAACUGAACACAUGCGUGUAAAUACGCAGGUCAUAUGGUCUAUAAAGAUUUGAUACGAUUUUUAUGUGCAUUUCAAAGAUGUGGAUAUGUGUUGCGAACAAUCUCCAUUCUCAACAUGUUUGUGUCUCUGAUUCCACUGUCCAUAAAUCUGUUUGCUAUUUUUCUGUAUGUUAUUUUGACUUCUAUCACAAUGAUGUGAUUGGUCUGUAAACUAAUAUUUUGCCUGUGGCAGAGAAUAUAUAUUAUCAAUCAGUGAAAUAACCAACAAUUGUUGGUGCCCUUCAAUAAAGCUAUAGAGAAUCAUAUUCUAUCAAACCUUACUGGAAAAAGAACGACACCCACUUGUUUCUACCCAUCAUGGGUAGUGAGGCUGCGGUCACACACGGAUGAAAAAUGCAUAUGCAUCCGUCACUGUCCAUUCACCUCAUUUAAACUUCUCACAUAUAAGUUGCUUAUGUAAAAAAAAAUGCGCGGACAAAACUGCUGAUAGACAUUUCUCAUUUCUGUAGCACAUCAACCUACAGAAAAUCCUUUUGGCUCAAUAUGUUUUAGAUUUUGUGAAUCCAUCGAUCAGGCUACAACACUACAGUUAAUGAUAAUGCUGUCUACUAAUACAAUAAUGACUUGUUUCAAUGAAAUACCAUAUGUGUAAAGGAUUUAUAUUAGUUCCUGCUAUAUUCUGUGUAAAUCAGCCUUGUGUGUGUAUCUCUCUUUCUUUUAUAUAUAUAUAUUAUUGUUAAAUAUAUCUUUGUCAAAACAAACAUGACUUUCCCUAAAACCUUGGUAGCAUUAAGAUAAUUUUAAGUCCAUUGGUAGGCAAUUUAUAUUUUCCAUUAACACAGUCACCAUCUUCUAAUCGUUUUGUCAGUCACCAACUAUUGUACAUCCCAAGCAAAAGUGUACGUUCACUAUAAUUUAAGCUGCCAUGAUGAGUUUUUGUUGAAUAGUUGUAUUUAUUUGUUUUGAAUUGUACAAAGGAGUUUAUUUUCAUUAAAGCCCUGAUAGAAUUGUGACCCAUUUCACUAUUCUUGGUUGUAAUUGUUUUAUGGACCUUACUAUCACAUUCUGGAAUUCACUAUUGUAGUGAUGACAAUAACUGUAGAAGAUAUAGUUUGUAAUAAAUGUCAUUGUGUUGUAUAUUUACUGAUGGAUGGCUACAGCUCUUUGUCUUGAGGUUAUGUCAUUUAGUCACUGGAGGGCCACAUGCAGUAGGUUGACACAGGAAUAUACUGGAAGUUUGGUAUCUGGUAGACAAGAUCGUAUUGAAUCUAAGGUCUAGGACUGAGCUAGAACUAUUGUCGGCUGAUCAUAUCUAUUAAUUGAUGCAACUAAUAAAAAUGCACUCCAACAACCUU